rnacentral:rRNA from 1 species
GACGAACGCUGGCGGCGUGCCUAAUACAUGCAAGUCGAGCGAAGUUUUUCUGGUGCUUGCACUAGAAAAACUUAGCGGCGAACGGGUGAGUAACACGUAAAGAACCUGCCUCAUAGACUGGGACAACUAUUGGAAACGAUAGCUAAUACCGGAUAACAGUAUUUCUCGCAUGAGAGAUAUUUAAAAGUUGGUUAUGCUAACACUAUGAGAUGGCUUUGCGAUGCAUUAGCUAGUUGGUGGGGUAAAGGCCCACCAAGGCGACGAUGCAUAGCCGACCUGAGAGGGUGAUCGGCCACACUGGGACUGAGACACGGCCCAGACUCCUACGGGAGGCAGCAGUAGGGAAUCUUCCGCAAUGGGCGAAAGCCUGACGGAGCAACGCCGCGUGAGUGAAGAAGGAUUUCGGUUCGUAAAGCUCUGUUGUUAGGGAAGAAUGGAUAUGUAGUAACUAUACAUGUAAGAGACGGUACCUAACCAGAAAGCCACGGCUAACUACGU